CCCCCGAUGUGCCUGACGGAGAGGGCGACGACCCCAAGUCAAACGCCGAGACCAAGACUUGAUGCAAAAGCAAGAGGAUUUAUUACAAGCGCAGCGCAGGGACUCUCAGGCAGACACGCAGCAACCCGAAGGAAGUGCUGGCUGACUGGGAGCCCCGAGCAAGGUCAAAGACAUGAGCUU